GACGAACGCUGGCGGCGUGCUUAACACAUGCAAGUCGAACGGAAAGGCCCUGCUUUUGUGGGGUUCUCGUGUGGCGAACGGGUGUGUAACACGUGUGUAACCUGCCCUUUACUUUGGGAUAACUUCAGGAAACUGGGGCUAAUACCCGAUAGGACCUCCUGCUGCAUGUUGUGGGUUGGUAAGUUUCGGCGGUUGGGGAUGGUCUCGCGGCUUAUCAGCUUGUUGGUGGGGUAGUGGCUUACCAAGGCUUUGACGGGUAGCCGGCAUGAGAGGGUGACCGGCGACAUUGGGACUGAGAUACGGCCCAGAGUGCAACGGGAGGCAGCAGUGGGGAAUAUUGCAAAAUGGGCGGAAGCCUGAUGCAGCAACGCCGCGUGCGGGAUGACGGCCUACGGGUUGUAAACAGCUUUCGACUGUGACGAAGCGUGAGUGACGGUAAUGGGUAAAGAAGCACCGGCUAACUACGUG
rnacentral:rRNA from 1 species